GGUCUCUGGGCCUUAUAGAAGCUCUGUGGCUGUGUGCCACAAGCCAUCCUCAUCAGGACAAGCCCCAGUGAAUGCAUUUCAGAGUGCCUCUGUCUUUCUUUACUCCUGAGCAGUUAGCCUGUCUCGCCUGCUCUGCUGCUAUUUUAGAGUACAGCGCCCCACGGGAGCCUGCAGCCUUUAUCUAUAGGAAAACCAGCAGGAAUUUUUCUGCACUGGGCAGAUUCUCAUGUUUCUUUCCUUUUUUCACUCACUAAGCGAUUUUGAAAAGUCAGGAGCCAAUUUCAUUGUGAUGGUGGGAGAGGGAGGCACAUUUGAGGCCUGAGCCGUUGUUUCAGGACACUGAGGCUUGGAUGAGGGAUAUUUGGCCAAUGGAAAGUCAGGAUAUAGCCAGGCAGGAAAUAUAGGCAGAGCUAUGAAACUAGGAGAAUUUGGGGAGGAGGAACACAGACAGAGUCAUGAGAAUAUGCCAUGUAGCUACCUAGAAGGUAGGAUGGGUGCUUGGGUAUUCUCCAGUAAGCCAAGACUACAUGGAGAUACAUGGAUUGAUAGAAAUUGAUUAAUAAUUAAGAAAGAGCUAGCCAAUAAGUAGCCUGAGCCAUUGGCCAAACAGUUUAUAAUAACAAAAUAACAAUAUCACACUUCUAACUGAUAAUAUCUUGCUGCAUCAGCUCCCUAUCCAUAUCCAUACUCUCCCUGUCAACUACCUGUCCCUCCAUCCUUCCCUCUCCAGACUAACGUCUUCAGCGGGCACAGAAGCACCCUUUGCUGACUGCCAUGGCACAUCCCCUAUCUAAGACUCUCUGUGACCCAGGGCCAGCAACAUCAGCCCCACCAGGCUCACCAACUCCAAAGCCCUGGAGUGUGCCCAGCACCCAUGUUAUGAAAAGCUUGUGUGAUGGCUGAUACAGCUGAAUUUCAAGAUGCAUUGGCUGUCAAAGAGAAAGGCUGUGAGAUGUACCUCCCACAGAGAGCAAUUCAUUUCCAGAAGUCAGUGACUGAUCAGACAUCAGAUAUUUGUCCCAGUCUCGGCCC
rnacentral:lncRNA from 1 species